ACGAAGGGGGCUAGCGUUGUUCGGAAUCACUGGGCGUAAAGGGCGCGUAGGCGGCUUUGUAAGUCGGGGGUGAAAGCCUGUGGCUCAACCACAGAAUUGCCUUCGAUACUGCAUGGCUUGAGACCGGAAGAGGUAAGUGGAACUGCGAGUGUAGAGGUGAAAUUCGUAGAUAUUCGCAAGAACACCAGUGGCGAAGGCGGCUUGCCAGAAUGCGCUCGACGGUGAGGGAUGAAAGCUGGGGGAGCAAACCGGA
rnacentral:rRNA from 1 species